CAAAGGACUUGACGGUACCCCACAUCCACCUAGAGGAGCCUGUCCUACAAUCGAUAACCCCCGCUUAACCUCACCAUUUUUAGCCUAUCAGCCUGUAUACCUCCGUCGUCAGCUUACCACGUGAGCGACCCUUAGUGAGCUUGAUGCCCAUACGCCAACACGUCAGGUCAAGGUGCAGCAGAUAAAAUGGGAAGAGAUGGGCUACACUCUCUAUUCUAGAAAACACGGAAGAUUAUUUAUGAAACCUAAUCAGAAGGCGGAUUUAGUAGUAAAAAGAGACAAUAGUGCUCUUUUUAACAUGGCACUGGGGUGUGUACACACCGCCCGUCACCCUCUUCAAAGCUAAUAUAAAGUCUUUGACACACUUAAGCAUUAUAGAAGAGGCAAGUCGUAACAUGGUAAGUAUACCGGAAGGUGUGCUUGGAAA
rnacentral:rRNA from 1 species